rnacentral:lncRNA from 11 species
CUUCCCCUUCCAAACCCCUCCCCAGCCUUCUCCAACUCCUGUGAACGAUUUCUCCUGAUUAUCGCUUCCUCACAGGACUGCUCUCCUCCUCCAGGUUUGUUUGUUAACGCCGACCUUGCUUCAGGAGAAAAUGAAUACUCCUCCACAAUAUUCUCCCAUAAUCAGACAUCAUAAAAUGUUGCAGUGGAAUUCCUCAGAAAAAUAUACAUGGAUUUGUGUGCAGCUCCUCACCCCGCCACUGUGUUUUCUGCACAAAGGACAUCACUAUCAUUAUUCUCAAUAAUAAAGAAAAGAAAAUCCUGCCAGCCACAACACUAUUACCCAGUGGGGAUCCUUGCAAAGAAGAUGGAAGAUAUCUUCUCAGCCUUGUGGGUUCUCCCUUCGAAAAAAGAAAGGAUGUAUUUUGAAGUUUGCAUGAAAAGUGUCACAUCCUUCAGUUUUCAGGAACCCACUUACUUAUGUUUUGAGUAUGUUAUUGAUAAACCUAGAAAAGGUACUGAGGAAAGGAGAAAACAAAAGAUGUUGCUGAAACAACCCACAGCUCCAAACAACGUGGCAGUGUUUAGAGGUGGAAGGAUUUUAACAACUUUUGGAAGGCCAUUGAUUCCUAAGCUCCACAUUAUGAGUUUUUAUAUUGAAAUACAUUUGUCAUUAUAAAGCCCUUACAGGCCAUUUACAGGCAUCAUUUUGAAACUCCUCAAAUUUCUCAAAUAACUUAGUGUUAUUCACAAACCUAGCCGCCUCACUACUUACUUUUCCUAACUGCAGAUCAUUUCUUAACAACUUUAAAAGCAUUGAUCCCAUUACAGGACAAUACCUCUGUUGUGUGAACUUUCCAUGUUGUCCUACCUUCUAUUUCCUUUUCUUUAACUUGUUUGCUGAGAAGUUGUAUUAUGGAACAUUAAUAGGCUAAAGAAUAAGACCUCUCCUUUCAUGACGACUAUGCUGAUUCUGCAUCAGCAAUAAUGGUCCUUCUGUUUUAAUCGUAUCCAACUAUUUUGGCCCACAAGGCUGCAUUUGAGGCAUGCUGAGCACACAGGGGCUUCACACAUGCAACAAGCACACAAAAACAUGCAAUUUUUCUUUUCUGUAAUACUUCAUUAACAAGCUUUAAAAGCUCACAUCAGUUAUUUUCAUGUGUAUUCAAAAGCAAGCUGCAAUGCAAUAGAUUUCUAAAACACACAGAAUGUAUCUCAAUAUAUUCAAAGAACAAGACAAUUAAAAUGCAAUUGUCUAUGAAACCUCCCAAUUGCUGAUUACUGAUUGGAGAUAAGAACAGGUUUCUCAGCUUAGCAUUUGAAGAGAGUUCAAAUUAUUGAAUUCACAUUCAAAUUAUUAUUCACAUUCAGUGUGUGUAUCUUUUUUAAAAAUACAUUCUCAUUCUUCUGAUAGGGGAAACACUAUCAAACUGGAUGAGGAGGACAGUUGAGAGAAAUUCCCAUGGAUGAGGUUUACAAUACUUCUGCCAACUUUAUAAAUAAGACAGAAAAUGGGGCACUUUUUAAAAUACAGUAGAGCCCCGGUUAACUGAGCUCUGGUUAACCGAGGCUCUGGGUUAUCCGAGGCGCUGCCGGGAGUGCCCCUCCCUUUCCUUCUCUCGAGUUUGAGAGAAGGAGAGGGAGAGGAAGCGCCCAGCGAUCGCUGCUGCCUAGCAGCAAUGGUGAGGUGCUUCCCAAGGGGCAAGGCCUCGCCCAGGGACGUCCCUGGGUGAGACUUCUGCCCAGGCAAGACCCUCGCCAUCACUCCUGCCUAGACAGCAGUGAUGCUGAGAGGCUUCCCAAGGGGCAAAGUCUCACGGAGGGACAUCCUUGGUUGAGACUUCGGCCCAGGCAAGCCCCUCGCCAUCGUUCCUGCCUAGACAGCAGCGAUGGCAAGGGGCUUCCCAAGGGGUGAGGUCUCGUCGAGGGAUGUCCCUCGGCGAGAUCUCGCCCUAUCCGAGCCAUUCAGUUAUCCGAGAUGGGGUCCGCCCCUUUAUCUCAGAUAACAGGGGCUCUACCAUAAGUGUAUCAAAUAUCUGGAAAUAUCAAAUGAACAUAUUGGCACAACACUGUUACAAUCUUUUUCUUGCAGCUGGAGGCUACUGGUGCAUCUACACUGUAGAAUUAAUUCAAUUUGACAUCCCUUUAACUGCCAUGGUUCUAUGCUAUGGAAUCCUGGGAGUUGCAGAUUAAUGAGGUCUUUCACAUCUCAAAACUACAAAUCUCAGAAUUCUAUAGCAAAGAGUAUUUGCCAUUACUGUGGCAUCAAACUGCAUUAAUUCUACAGAGUAAAUGCACCUGAAGAGAAACUGGGAUAAAAAUGGGGUGGGGUGUCUUGAUGAUGCUUGCUGAAAAUGGUUGCUGGGUUGCAUUAACAGCUGAAAAACAUGUGUUAAAACGUGCACUUAAAAUCUAAUUUCAGCCUGAAAAUGUGCAUAUUCACAUCACUAUAUAUAUCUGUACACAAUAAAAAUAUGUGACUUCAUUGCUGCUCUAGCACAUGUACGCAUUUUAAAAUCCUGAAAAAGCUGAUGAGGGCUGUAAAUAAAUGGAGUCACUGACCACACAGGUGGUUAAUGGAAGCACAAUUGGAAAGCAAUUAC